GACGAACGCUGGCGGCGUGCCUAAUACAUGCAAGUUGAGCGCUGAAGGUUGGUACUUGUACCAACUGGAUGAGCAGCGAACGGGUGAGUAACGCGUGGGGAAUCUGCCUUUGAGCGGGGGACAACAUUUGGAAACGAAUGCUAAUACCGCAUAAAAACUUUAAACACAAGUUUUAAGUUUGAAAGAUGCAAUUGCAUCACUCAAAGAUGAUCCCGCGUUGUAUUAGCUAGUUGGUGAGGUAAAGGCUCACCAAGGCGAUGAUACAUAGCCGACCUGAGAGGGUGAUCGGCCACAUUGGGACUGAGACACGGCCCAAACUCCUACGGGAGGCAGCAGUAGGGAAUCUUCGGCAAUGGACGAAAGUCUGACCGAGCAACGCCGCGUGAGGGAAGAAGGGUUUCGGAUCGUAAAACUCUGUUGGUAGAGAAGAACGUUGGUGAGAGUGGAAAGCUCAUCAAGUGACGGUAACUACUCAGAAAGGGACGGCUAACUACGUG
rnacentral:rRNA from 1 species